UACGGAGGGAGCUAGCGUUGUUCGGAAUUACUGGGCGUAAAGCGCGCGUAGGCGGCUUUGUAAGUUAGAGGUGAAAGCCCGGAGCUCAACUCCGGAACUGCCUUUAAAACUGCAUCGCUUGAAUCCAGGAGAGGUGAGUGGAAUUCCGAGUGUAGAGGUGAAAUUCGUAGAUAUUCGGAAGAACACCAGUGGCGAAGGCGGCGACCUGGGUAGAUACUGACGCUGAGGUGCGAAAGCGUGGGGAGCAAACAGG
rnacentral:rRNA from 1 species